UGGGGAAUAUUGCACAAUGGGCGAAAGCCUGAUGCAGCAACGCCGCGUUAGUGAUGAAGGCCUUCGGGUUGUAAAGCUCUGUCUUCUGGGACGAUAAUGACGGUACCAGAGGAGGAAGCCACGGCUAACUACGUGCCAGCAGCCGCGGUAAUACGUAGGUGGCAAGCGUUGUCCGGAUUUACUGGGCGUAAAGGAUGCGUAGGCGGAUACUUAAGUCAGAUGUGAAAAUCCCGGGCUUAACUUGGGAACUGCAUUUGAAACUGGGUAUCUAGAGUGCGGGAGAGGAAAGUGGAAUUCCUAGUGUAGCGGUGAAAUGCGUAGAGAUUAGGAAGAACACCAGUGGCGAAGGCGACUUUCUGGACCGUAACUGACGCUGAGGCAUGAAAGCGUGGGGAGCAAACA
rnacentral:rRNA from 1 species